GCAUGUAGAAUAUGAAUAUGAGUUGAUAUAUAUAAGGUGGUUUCGUUUUUUAUGGUCUAGUAUUUUUUGACUUUUAUUUGGGGAGAACUGGUUUUCUACAUUGAACCGAGAAAAUAAAAAUAUUGAAACGGAUCAAACAAGUUAACACAUGACACGGUUUCUGUCUUGAACAACCAGGUUGUUUUUCUUUGGCUCUUACUGAAAGUUCGAAAGGAAAAAUACAGACGCGAUGUUAUGAUUCGGUUUAAGCUGGUUAGUAGAAUACCGGUUUGAUUUUACCGUAAUUUUCUAGUGCCAUCAAUUUUUACCGUAAAUGUAAUGGUAGGGAAAUUGAUAUUUUGCGUAAUUGCCUUAGUCAUAUGUCGUAACUCGAAUAACUGGCUGGUAGCGUAACCGGGUCAAAACUAUGUAUGUUAUGUUUUU
rnacentral:lncRNA from 1 species